rnacentral:rRNA from 1 species
UAGUGGCGGACGGGUGAGUAACGCGUGGGAAUCUGCCCUCAGGAGGGGGAUAACGGUUGGAAACGACCGCUAAUACCCCAUAUGCCGAGAGGUGAAACGAAAUUCGCCUGAGGAUGAGCCCGCGUCUGAUUAGCUAGUUGGUGGGGUAAAGGCCUACCAAGGCAUCGAUCAGUAGCUGGUCUGAGAGGAUGAUCAGCCACACUGGGACUGAGACACGGUCCAGACUCCUACGGGAGGCAGCAGUGGGGAAUUUUCCGCAAUGGGCGCAAGCCUGACGGAGCAACGCCGCGUGAGGGAUGAAGGCCUCUGGGCUGCAAACCUCUUUUCUCAAGGAAGAAGAACUGACGGUACUUGAGGAGUAAGCCACGGCUAA